GGUCUGUGAUGUCAUGUAAAAGGUAUGAUUGCACAGGUUGCCAGUCCAGGAGUUUGCAACUCACAGAAACCUCCAGUUCUGCCGUCAUGCUCCAGCAGUGCUAUGAUUGGCUCUGGAGGUUUCUGAUAAUAGUGAAUGUUGUCUUCUCCCCCCUCUGUGUUCCUUGAAGUGUUAGGCAUAUAGUGUAAACAAACAUUCAACAUUUAGUUAGAAAUGAGUUGCUGGUUCUGGUGUUUGCUCCAAGGUGCAUGAUCACAAUUUCUUCUGAGACC